UGCCUAAGACCCUUAGCUUCAGUUGUUUCAAUCAUUCCAUAAUAAUCCAAUCCAUGAACACGCCAAAGAUAAGUAAUAAGCGUAUCCAACAGUUCAGAGCCCUCCAGACCUUUGACAGAGGUUAAGCCUCGUAUGAUGAUAACAGGGCCAGUGGAGCUGCUAUGAGAUUUCUCUCCAUUGAUUUUGUCAUUAUCAGAUCCACCUAAAAUAUUUGCUUCAAUUCCCUUUUCAGAGUCAAGCUUGCGUACAAGGGCCAGAGCUUGUUCAACAUCAACUUGAAUUCUUCUGGAUUCUGAGCUGACUGGGUGAGCCUUAGGAGCAACUGAGAGAAGAACAGUUUCUUUAGCUUGUGUACGGCCCUGCCGUCUUCUUUUGCCGCCAGUGUCUACUUCAUCAUCAGAAUUUGGAUUGCUUGUCUUUCCAGAUUUAUUUACAGAUACGACAUUGAUACCAGGACCUAAGUCCAAUGUUCCACUUUGCAAGUCAAGCAGAAAGUCCUUUGCAACCUUCCGUGCCAGUUCAUUCCUCCUUUCUAUAACUGCAACCAAAUUGGUUGGAUGAUAUUUGUCUCUCAACCAUUCUUCAUCUUUAUGAGACUCAAAGAAAACUCGUUUCUGAGUAGAAAUGUACUCUGACUUGUAUUCUUGAUAUCUGCGCUCUGCUUCAGCUGGUACAAUAUCAUCUUCAAGCUCCUGAAUGAACUGCUUGUAUGACAUCAAGCCUUCUCUUUGAGCGCUCACUGUGUUGGAAGCAUCGACACAACCACCACGUCCAGAAUCCCAAUCAGAGGGACUGCUCUGAAAUCCACCUGCACGACACAUGUACCGGCCAUGAGGCCUGUCUUCAGGAUACCCAGGCCUGCCCCCCAUCUCACGUUCAUAUCCACCAGCAUAAUC
rnacentral:misc_RNA from 1 species